UACGUAGCGGGCUAGCGUUGUCCGGAAUCAUUGGGCGUAAAGAGCGUGUAGGCGGCCCGACAAGUCCGCCGUGAAAGUCCGAGGCUCAACCUCGGAAUGCCGGUGGAAACUGUCGGGCUUGAGUUCGGAAGAGGCGAGUGGAAUUCCUGGUGUAGCGGUGAAAUGCGCAGAUAUCAGGAGGAACACCAAUGGCGAAGGCAGCUCGCUGGGACGACACUGACGCUGAGACGCGAAAGCGUGGGGAGCAAACAGG
rnacentral:rRNA from 1 species